AAGGGCGAGUGAAGCGGUAAAAGCUCAAAUUUGAAAUCUGGCUCUUUUAGAGUCCGAAUUGUAAUUUGUAGAAGAUGCUUCGGGUGUGGUUCCGGUCUAAGUUCCUUGGAACAGGACGUCAUAGAGGGUGAGAAUCCCGUAUGUGACUGGAUACCUAUGCUCAUGUGAAGCUCUUUCGACGAGUCGAGUUGUUUGGGAAUGCAGCUCAAAAUGGGAGGUAUAUUUCUUCUAAAGCUAAAUAUUGGCCAGAGACCGAUAGCGCACAAGUAGAGUGAUCGAAAGAUGAAAAGCACUUUGGAAAGAGAGUUAAACAGUACGUGAAAUUGUUGAAAGGGAAGCGCUUGCAAUCAGACUUGCACUUGGUGUUCAUCAGGGUCUCGUACCCUGUGUACUUCAUCAAGUUCAGGCCAGCAUCAGUUUGAGUGGUUAGAUAAAGGCUUAGAGAAUGUGGCCCUCUUCGGGGGGUGUUAUAGCUCUA
rnacentral:rRNA from 1 species